GUAUCCGCGUGAACUUAAGCAUAUCAAUAAACGGAGGAAAAGAAACCAACAGGGAUUGCCUCAGUAACGGCGAGUGAAGCGGCGACAGCUCACAUUUGAUAGCUGGCGUCUCCGACGUGCGCGUUGUAAUUUGUAGAGGAUGCUUCGGCGAGGACUCCUGCCUAAGUCCCCUGGAACGGGGCGUCACAGAGGGUGAGAAUCCCGUACGUGGCGGGCGGUCCGAGCCGUGUGAAGCUCCUUCGACGAGUCGAGUUGUUUGGGAAUGCAGCUCUAAAUGGGAGGUAAAUUUCUUCUAAAGCUAAAUACUGGCCAGAGACCGAUAGCGCACAAGUAGAGUGAUCGAAAGAUGAAAAGCACUUUGGAAAGAGAGUUAAAAAGUACGUGAAAUUGUUGAAAGGGAAGCGCUUGCAACCAGACUCGCCCGCAGUUGCUCAGCCGGCCUCUUGGCCGGCUCACUCCUCUGCGGUCGGGCCAGCAUCGGUUCGGGCGGCCGGACAAAGGCGUCGGGAACGUAGCACCCUUCGGGGUGUGUUAUAGCCCGUCGCGGAAUGCGGCCAGCCUGGACCGAGGAUCUCGCUUCGGCAAGGAUGCUGGCGUAAUGGUUGUAAGCGGCCCGUCUUGAAACACGGACCAAGGAGUCUAACAUCUAUGCGAGUGCUUGGGUGUCAAACCCGUGCGCGUAAUGAAAGUGAACGGAGGUGGGAACCCUUCUCGGGGCGCACCAUCGACCGAUCCUGAUGUCUUCGGAUGGAUUUGAGUAAGAGCAUGGCUGUUGGGACCCGAAAGAUGGUGAACUAUGCCUGAAUAGGGUGAAGCCAGAGGAAACUCUGGUGGAGGCUCGCAGCGGUUCUGACGUGCAAAUCGAUCGUCAAAUUUGGGUAUAGGGGCGAAAGACUAAUCGAACCCA
rnacentral:rRNA from 1 species